GCGCGCGUGGCGGAACUGGCAGACGCGCAGGUUUCAGGUACCUGUCCUAGCAAUAGGGUGGAGGUUCGAAUCCUCUCGCGCGCA
rnacentral:tRNA from 1 species